rnacentral:rRNA from 1 species
CCUACGGGAGGCAGCAGUGGGGAAUAUUGCACAAUGGGGGAAACCCUGAUGCAGCGACGCCGCGUGAGUGAAGAAGUAAUUCGUUACGUAAAGCUCUAUCAGCAGGGAAGAAAAUGACGGUACCUGAGGAAGAAGCCCCGGCUAACUACGUGCCAGCAGCCGCGGUAAUACGUAGGGGGCAAGCGUUAUCCGGAUUUACUGGGUGUAAAGGGAGCGUAGACGGUUCGUCAAGUCUGGAGUGAAAUGCCGCAGCUUAACUGUGGAACUGCUUUGGAAACUGGCGAACUCGAGUGCGGGAGGGGUGAGCGGAAUUCCUAGUGUAGCGGUGAAAUGCGUAGAUAUUAGGAGGAACUCCGGUUGCGAAGGCGGCUUACUGGACUGUAACUGACGUUGAGGCUCGAAAGCGUGGGGAGCAAACAGGAUUAGAUACCCCUGUAGUC